rnacentral:rRNA from 2 species
AAACCAACAGGGAUUGCCUUAGUAACGGCGAGUGAAGCGGCAAAAGCUCAAAUUUGAAAUCUGGCACUUUCAGUGUCCGAGUUGUAAUUUGAAGAAGGUAACUUUGGAGUUGGCCCUUGUCUAUGUUCCUUGGAACAGGACGUCACAGAGGGUGAGAAUCCCGUGCGAUGAGGUGUCCAAUUCUAUGUAAAGUGCUUUCGAAGAGUCGAGUUGUUUGGGAAUGCAGCUCUAAGUGGGUGGUAAAUUCCAUCUAAAGCUAAAUAUUGGCGAGAGACCGAUAGCGAACAAGUACAGUGAUGGAAAGAUGAAAAGAACUUUGAAAAGAGAGUGAAAAAGUACGUGAAAUUGUUGAAAGGGAAGGGCUUGAGAUCAGACUCGGUAUUUUGCAAGCCUAUCCUUCGUGGAGAGGUUUAUUAGCAGCUUACCGGGCCAGCAUCGGUUUGGAUGGUAGGAUAAUGGCAUUGGAAUGUGGCUCUUCGGAGUGUUAUAGCCUUUGUUGAUACUGCCUAUCUAGACCGAGGACUGCGUCUUUGACUAGGAUGCUGGCGUAAUGAUCUUAAGCCGC